rnacentral:ncRNA from 1 species
GUGUUGUGUAGAGAAGAAGUUAGGAUGGAAGAGGCCCUGAGUCCUAUAGAACACAUAUUUAAGGCACUGCCACCUGUUUUGUAGCCUCUAACCAUGAUUUUGA